AGAUUGAACGCUGGCGGCAUGCCUAACACAUGCAAGUCGAACGGUAACGCGGGGGCAACCCUGGCGACGAGUGGCGGACGGGUGAGUAAUACGUAGGAAUCUGCCCAUUUGUGGGGGAUAACCCGGCGAAAGCCGGGCUAAUACCGCAUACGCUCUACGGAGGAAAGCGGGGGAUCGCAAGACCUCGCGCUAAUGGAUGAGCCUACGUCGGAUUAGCUAGUUGGUAGGUAACGGCCUACCAAGGCGACGAUCCGUAGCUGGUCUGAGAGGACGAUCAGCCACACUGGGACUGAGACACGGCCCAGACUCCUACGGGAGGCAGCAGUGGGGAAUAGUUGGACGAAUGGGGGGACAACCCUGAU
rnacentral:rRNA from 1 species